rnacentral:rRNA from 1 species
AACGAACGCUGGCGGCAUGCCUAACACAUGCAAGUCGAACGAGACCUUCGGGUCUCGUCGCGCACGGGUGCGUAACGCGUGGGAACCUGCCCUUAGGUUCGGCAUAACUCCCCGACAGGGGUGCUAAUACCGGAUAAUGUCUUCGGACCAAAGAUUUAUCGCCUUUGGAUGGGCCCGCGUUGGAUUCGCUAGUUGGUAGGGUAAAAGCCUACCAAGGCGACGAUCCAUAGCUGGUCUGAGAGGAGGAUCAGCCACACUGGGACUGAGACACGGCCCAGACUCCUACGGGAGGCAGCAGUGGGGAAUAUUGGACAAUGGGCGAAAGCCUGAUCCAGCAAUGCCGCGUGAGUGAUGAAGGCCUUAGGGUUGUAAAGCUCUUUUACCCGGGAUGAUAAUGACAGUACCGGGAGAAUAAGCUCCGGCUAACUCCGUG